UUCUUUUUUUGGAAAGGUGAUGCUGGUUGCAAGCCCUAAGCAUUCCUGAAGAUCUACUCAGAAAGAAAACAGCCAUCAGAGUGCUGCCCUUGGCUUCACUGGGAGCACAGAAAUGACCCGGGGUUGAAAAGGGCAAAAGUGUCUCUGGAGGCGCUGGAGGCAGCGCAGGGAGUGCCGGCAGCACGGUGUUCUGUGCCCCAGUGGUCCAUGGAAGGGCUCUAUAUCUCCCAGGCCUCGUGCAAGUGAGGAACCCUCACAAGCUACAUCAGUAAAGGCCAGGAGCUUCUCUGGUACCACCUCAGCAGCCGCAGGGUAGCAGAAGAGCAGGUGCUCAGCUUCGCCUGGGAGAGACUGGACUGACUUGCUGCAGCCUGUCUUCCGCAUUAGGAUCUUCUUGUCUGGCUCGGCAUUUACAACAGCAAAGGGCAGCAGUUGGAGGAAGAACAAAAAAUGAAGACCUGCUGAAAACACAACAGACACCAUUACCUGCAUGGCUUUUUUGCUUGCUUGUGAGACCUGGAAGGAGGAAAUCAGGAGGGGUGGCUGGCAGACUGUUCUGCCUCACAUCCCUGCCUGUAGCUCACUGUGCAGUGAAAAUGUGAAAUCUUUACCUUGGCAACACACUGUCACAGUAUCAUCUCCUGGAUCUGGUUCUGCUUUCUGCAAUUUGGUCUCAUUGCUGACAGCCAAAGUUCACAGUUCUUAACAACUCCUCUCAUAGACCAAUAUUUCAUAAAAUCAUAGAAUGAAACAUAGAAUGGCUUGGGUUGAAAGGGACCUUAAAGACCAUCUAGUUCCAACCCCUGCCACGGGCAGGGUUGCCACUCACUAGAUCAGGUUGCCAAGCAACCCAUCCGGACUAGACCUUGAAAGCCACUGGGGAUGGAGCAUUUGCAACACGUUUCCUUAAUUCUCCUGCCACACUCUUUCCUCUUUCCUCCAGCGCAUUCAGGCAUCCCAGUUAAAGAAGCUAAUGCAGUGCUUCCACCAUAAACAACAGAUGGAAACUUAUCCUGGCAGCCCCAGUUUGAACUGACUGAGGUUCAUGCAACAAACUGGACUUGUGCCAGGCCCACCGGAGCAGAGGCUGUUAGUGCGAGGUGGAGCGCAAGCAGCGCGCAGGAUGGGAGGUCUCUCCGAACGAAUGUGAUCCUUCCUUGUUCCUACAGAUUAUUUUGAACGCUGACACAAUGGCUGCCAAAAACCGAAUCUGCCAGAAAUGUUAACAAAAGGCACUUUGAUCUCAUUCACUUGUCCUUGUUAAGAAUGUAUUGUAUUAUUUUGUCUUCUUUGUGGUCAGAAGAAAAAUGUUUCACCCUUGCAAAGUGUGUAUCACUCAUGUUCAAUAGUCUACGUGCUGUAUUACACAGGACUUCUGCUUUUCUCUGCUACUUGCUUUUGGGCCGCUUACUUCAGUGAUUCUUGCAUGCUAUAUAUUUAUUUAAAUAUUGCAGCAAUAUAUUUUUUUAAUGUAUAAGACUGAGAUUUAGAUGAGAUCUUGAAGUUCUCAUCUAAAAAGAUGAAGAAUAUAAUUUUUAUUAUGUGUGUAAAAACUUCUCAAAAGUCAAUUUAAACUUUCAUACAAGUUGUUAAAUCCCUGGCUCAGUAGUUAAUUCAUUUCAAAUAUCUCUUCUUGGCACAAGGUUUACAUUUUUCUAACCACAUAUUUACUGUAAAAAGCAGCUAAUACUCACUAAUAAAAUGGCAAUUAUCUAGCAACAGUAUUUCUUGCAAUGCAUCAUUCUCCCAGUGUACUGUAAAAAAUAUACGCGUCAAAUAACCUCAUUCUCAUCUUCAAACAAGAUGGAAGUUUAUGGAAAAUACAAUCCCCACUAGCAAAUAAAAAAGAGGAAACUGCUGAUGAGAAAUUUUGAUGCCAAAUCAAAGUACUGUGUUUGUUGACAUAUAACACUGAAGAAUAAGAUGUAACAUGUUGAAUUUGUGGCCAUGAGAUACUGAGAGUUUGGCAUAACAAUACAGUCAGCAAUUAUUGUAGAGAAGAUAAACUUGCAAAAUAGAAUAAAUAUGCAUAGCUAUUGCUGUUUCUGGAUAUUUUACAAAGGAUAUUGUAUUUUUGAUCUUUGAUAUAUACCUGCAUAGAAAAUCUUUAUUUUCAAAAUGUUAAGAAAAAAUAUUUUUAAAAUAGAUUGAUUAUCUGUGCUUUAUAUUAUCCUGUAAUUGAUGUACUCUAAAUGUCAUCUUUGAAGAUUAA